CCCUCCCCUUUCUCCUUUUCUGGUUGAUCCCAUAGUUUGGGAUACCUCCAAUCCCACCCACACUACCCAUGCCAUGCCUAUUUUAAUUCAUCUCAGGGAUCCUUCAAUUUUUCCUUGCAUUCUCCAAUAUCCUAUAGCUCCUAAACAUUUACAUGGAUUUAAACCUAUAAUCAAGCAUCUUUUAGAAAUGGUUUUCUUAAACUUACCCAUUCACCCUACAAUACUCCCAUUCUCCUGGUACUCAAGCCUAGUGGGUCCUAUAAUCUGAUAUAAGACCUUAGGAUAAUCAAUGAUGCUGUUACUCCAAUUCACCCAGUGCUGCCAAACCCUUAUACCAUGCUCUAUCAUAUCCCUCCCUCCACCAUUUACUUUACAGUCAUAGAUCUUUAAAAUGCCUUUUUUCUUUUUACCAUCCUCCUUAUACCCUGAUUGUCAGGAUUCCUUUGUGUUUAGGUAGACUGACCCAGACACUCUGAGGUCUCAACAACUUAUAGCUGUCAUCUCUAUAGUAGAACCUCUCCUCAGGGAGGAAUACCAUCCCCUUUCUAUCUUAUUCAUCAAUUUCGCAGACACUCCCCUGGUCAGGACUGACAGAUUUUACACACAUGUCCCACCACAAAACUCUCAAAUAUCUUCUCACCUUUGUUUGUACUUUCUCAGGAUAUCUAUCUAGAUCUCCCUCAACCAGGGAGACUGCUGAUGUAGUUACUAAACUUCUGUUACAGGAAAUCAUCCCAAGGUUUGGUUUACCUCAGAGUGUUCAGUCAGAUAAUGGUCCAGCCUUUAUUCCUCAAGUCUUUCAACAGGACUACAACUAAAAUGGAGUGGUCCAUACAUGGUCUUCCUCAAGGAAGGUCAAGAUCACUGAACUGCCAUACUGGUUCCACAUCACUCAAGCUAAUCGCUGCCCUCCUAACCCUAACUCCCCCGACUCUUCACAUUGUGAGAGGUCAUCUCAUCUCCUAUCUCCCAUUUCCAUCUCACUAAGGCCCCACAGCCACAAUUUUCAGGCUAGGUCAUGUUUUAUUACCCUAUUUGGUUUCUGAUCCCUUCUAUUCUAUUGGUUAAAAUUUUUCAUUAUAACUAUCUUAGUUCUCUCGGCCCUCAGAUGUUUAGUCAAACAUGUGAUCCCUGUGGGUCUAGCCUCUCAUCUCCCUUAUAGUGACACAGCCACAGCCCACCCCACACUCUCUGUAAUUUCCCAAAUAUGAUUCAAUCAUCAGGCCUUUUAUUUCACAUGCCUCUUAUUCUUUGCAGCUCAACUCCUGGACCAAAGACAAGUCCUACCUAGCUACACUUUUAGCUUUUACCCUUUCAGAUGAGAGAAUAAUCACCUCUCAUAACUUAACUCCUCCUAACCCCACACUUAUUUUUCAGAUUCUACCUCACCAUUGCCCCUGAUGGAAUGACAUAUUUAAAUCAAAGUCACCUUUCCUUCUGCCUCUCCUGGGUCCUUAAAUAUGAUUAGUGGCCUGCCUCCUCAUACCACCUUGUCUCUUUGUUUUUCCAAUCUAGGAUGUGAGCAUUCAUCAAUGAUUAAUUCUUUGUCCUGCCUGAAAUGCCUGGUACCAGCUUCUACAUGGACAGCAACCAUCCUCCCAUCAACCUUCCUGAACACCAAUGCAGUGCCCCCUUCAGCAGGAAGUAACCCAUAUACAUGUGUGCCACAUGAAAGCUGAAGAGGAGAAGUGCAGAGAGCCGCUGAAGCUGGAGAUUGAUCCCACGUGUGGGGCUAACACAAGGCCAGCCCGGAAAAAACAGAAAGACCAAAGCAAGCUAUGUAAACAAGUUGUUCCAGCACCAAGAGGGCAAGGGCCCAGGCCUGCCAGGCAGUGGGGUGCUGGGCAGAGGGGCUGAAACUGAUAUCAGCUUUCCCAGUGUAUAAAUAAAGGUGUCAUAGUGGUUGAGCAGUUCCUUUCCUCCCAUCAGGCGGCUAAGGGCUCCAGCUUUGUCCUCUCUUUUUUUUCUCGUCCUCUCGCUGGUCCUUAACCCCAAGAACCUCAAGAGCUGCAUUGGGUCAUGGCAGAGAAGGAAGGCCAGGCAAGAAUAAGAUGAGGAAAA